AGCGGCGGACGGGUGAGUAACGCGUGGGUAACCUACCCUAUACACAUGGAUAACAUACUGAAAAGUUUACUAAUACAUGAUAAUAUAUAUUUACGGCAUCGUAGAUAUAUCAAAGUGUUAGCGGUAUAGGAUGGACCCGCGUCUGAUUAGCUAGUUGGUGAGAUAACUGCCCACCAAGGCGACGAUCAGUAGCCGACCUGAGAGGGUGAUCGGCCACAUUGGAACUGAGACACGGUCCAAACUCCUACGGGAGGCAGCAGUGGGGAAUAUUGCACAAUGGGCGCAAGCCUGAUGCAGCAACGCCGCGUGAACGAUGAAGGUCUUCGGAUCGUAAAGUUCUGUUGCAGGGGAAGAUAAUGAC
rnacentral:rRNA from 2 species